CCCUAUGGGGUGCAGCAGGUUUCUAUUGCGGAGGCGAUGGAGGUCUGGCGAAAUAAGGCGGCGGUUUUUAUUGAUGUGCGUACGCCGGAAGAGUAUAAAGAGGGUCAUGUGCCGGGGGCGAUUCUGGUGCCGCUGGCCGAAUUGGAAAACAGAGUGGCGGAAAUUCCGAAAGAGCAGAAGGUUAUGUUGAUCUGUCGCAGCGGCAACCGCAGCGGCAAGGCGAAUUUAAUCCUCCAGAAAUACGGCUAUACGAAUACUUAUAGUGUUAAUGGCGGCAUGCUGGAGUGGCGGGAAGAGGUUGAAAAGUAGGGCGGUAGGCGACAGAGUAUCAUAAAUUUCGAUAAAGGAAUUGGCGGGGGGGC
rnacentral:rRNA from 1 species